AUUGAACGCUGGCGGCAUGCCUUACACAUGCAAGUCGAACGGCAGCACGGGUGCUUGCACCUGGUGGCGAGUGGCGAACGGGUGAGUAAUACAUCGGAACGUACCUUAUCGUGGGGGAUAACGCAGCGAAAGCUGUGCUAAUACCGCAUACGCCCUGAGGGGGAAAGCGGGGGAUCGCAAGACCUCGCGCGAUUAGAGCGGCCGAUGCCUGAUUAGCUUGUUGGUGGGGUAAAAGCCCACCAAGGCGACGAUCAGUAGCUGGUCUGAGAGGACGAGCGGCCACACUGGGACUGAGACACGGCCCAGACUCCUACGGGAGGCAGCAGUGGGGAAUUUUGGACAAUGGGGGCAACCCUGAUCCAGUAAUGCCGCGUGUGUGAAGAAGGCCUUCGGGUUGUAAAGCUCUUUUGUCAGGGAAGAAACACCGGCUCUAACACAGUCUGGGAAUGACGGUACCUGAAGAAUAAGCACCGGCUAACUACGUGCCAGCCGCCGCCGUAAUAC
rnacentral:rRNA from 1 species